CCCACCCACACCACCUUCCUGAGGCUUUGUACCUCUGCCACCCUGAGCAGGGAGUGGCACUUGAUCCAAAGAGAGCCUCUGAAAUGGCUGCACCCGAUAUCUCAGCAGGUUACCCCAUAGAGUGUUGAGUGGGCAACUCAAUUAUUCCCUCACCUGAAGAAGUCUGAAAGCAAGACGAAGAGAGUCCUUUUGCAAGAGUGAUGUACAAAGCCCUACGGACAUACAGACUUCGUGUGCAAGUCCUGUGGAGGAGAGGAGAUGAGAGAGCAAUCGGUUGGUGGCAUCUGGGGACAUUAAACAGUGACGUGGACACAGUGAUGGCCUGCAGUGGUGAACCAGUGAGGGAACAAGUCCUAUGGUUGGGGAGCUACCUGAGGCUGGAGAGCAGAGUACAGCCAGGCCCACAGUGGUGCAGCAUACCAGAGUCAAGGUCUCACUAGGAUGUCCAGGCUGGCCUCGAACUCCUGGGCUCAAGCAAUCCACCUGCCUUGGCCUCUGAAAGUGCAGGAAUUACAGAGACAUGGAGCCCAAUCUUCUGAUUACCCCUGAGCAGGCUGUGUUGUUUACCUGUGGUUCUUCUCUCUACCUUCCUGGGUAUGAGUAGAAUCUUGGGUUUGCAGCUGAACAUUGGGCUGAAGCAUAGGCUGAAGAAGACAUUUUUCUGAUAUGGAACUUCUCCAUCUUCUAUAACUUCAUCUUUGAAAUACAUGAAAAACCUGGGGAUAUCAUGGACACUGAACCAACCUCCUCACAUAUUUGAAAUGUCUUGUAA
rnacentral:lncRNA from 1 species